rnacentral:rRNA from 1 species
AAGCGGAGGGAUCAUUACAGAGUUGCAAAACUCCCUAAACCAUCGCGAACGUACCCUUACCGUUGCUUCCGCGGAGCCCGCGCGGGCGCCCGCCGGCGGCACUACAAACUCUUUUUUAUUACAGGCCUCUCUGAGUAUUUAUACAAAUAAGUUAAAACUUUCAACAACGGAUCUCUUGGUUCUGGCAUCGAUGAAGAACGCAGCGAAAUGCGAUAAGUAAUGUGAAUUGCAGAAUUCAGUGAAUCAUCGAAUCUUUGAACGCACAUUGCGCCCGCCAGUAUUCUGGCGGGCAUGCCUGUUCGAGCGUCAUUUCAACCAUCAAGCCCCAGGCUUGUGUUGGGGCCCUGCGGCUGCCGCAGGCCCUGAAAAACAGUGGCGGGCUCGCUGUCACACCGAGCGUAGUAAUACAUCUCGCUUUGGACGUGCAGCGGGUUCUUGCCGUUAAACACCCCCCUUCUCAAGGUUGACCUCGGAUCAGGUAGGAAUACCCGCUGAACUUAAGCAUAUCAAUAAGCGGAG